rnacentral:tRNA from 1 species
GCCAGAGUGGUGUAGUGAUUUGAGCAUUGGACUAUAACUCUGGAGACCAGGGUUCAAAUCCCCUCUCAAGCA